rnacentral:rRNA from 1 species
GAUGAACGCUGGCGGCGUGCCUAAUACAUGCAAGUCGAGCGAACGGACGAGAAGCUUGCUUCUCUGAUGUUAGCGGCGGACGGGUGAGUAACACGUGGAUAACCUACCUAUAAGACUGGGAUAACUUCGGAAAACCGGAGCUAAUACCGGAUAAUAUUUUGAACCGCAUGGUUCAAAAGUGAAAGACGGUCUUGCUGUCACUUAUAGAUGGAUCCGCGCUGCAUUAGCUAGUUGGUAAGGUAACGGCUUACCAAGGCAACGAUGCAUAGCCGACCUGAGAGGGGGAUCGGCCACACUGGAACUGAGACACGGUACAGACUCCUACGGGAGGCAGCAGUAGGGAAUCUUACGCAAUGGGCGAAAGCAUGACGGAGCAACGCCGCGUGAGUGAUGAAGGUCGUCGGAUCGUAAAACUCUGUUAUUAGGGAAGAAAAGAUGUGUAAGUAAAUGUGCACAUCUUGACGAUACCUAAUCAGAAAGCAACGGCUAACUACGUG